rnacentral:rRNA from 1 species
AUUGAACGCUGGCGGCAGGCCUAACACAUGCAAGUCGAACGAGUGGCGGACGGGUGAGUAAUGUCUGGGAAACUGCACGAUGGAGGGGGAUAACUACUGGAAACGGUAGCUAAUACCGCAUACCAUCGGAUGUGCCGAGAUGGGAUUAGCUAGUAGGUGGGGUAACGGCUCACCUAGGCGCCGAUCCCUAGCUGGUCUGAGAGGAUGACCAGCCACAAUGGAACUGAGACACGGUCCAGACUCCUACGUGAGGCAGCAGUGGGGAAUAUUGCACAAUGGGCGCAAGCCUGAUGCAGCAAGGCCGCGUGUAUGAAGAAGGCCUUCGGGUUGUAAAGUACUUUCAGCGAGGAGGCGUUACUCGCAGAAGAAGCACCGGCGAACUCCGGGCCAGCCGCCGCGGUAAUUC